UACGUAGGGUGCGAGCGGUAAUCGGAAUUACUGGGCGUAAAGCGUGAGCAGGCGGUCUGCUAAGACAGGUGUGAAAUCCCUGGGCUCAACCUAGGAAUUGCGCUUGUGACUGGCAGGCUAGAGUACGGUAGAGGGGGGUGGAAUUCCUGGUGUAGCAGUGAAAUGCGUAGAGAUCAGGAGGAACACCGAUGGCGAAGGCAGCCCCCUGGGCCUGUACUGACGCUCAGGCACGAAAGCGUGGGGAGCAAACAGG
rnacentral:rRNA from 1 species